rnacentral:rRNA from 1 species
UACGUAGGGUGCGAGCGUUAAUCGGAAUUACUGGGCGUAAAGUGUGCGCAGGCGGCCGAGCAAGUCGAGUGUGAAAGCCCCGGGCUUAACUUGGGAAUUGCGCUCGAAACUACUUGGCUGGAGUGUGGCAGAGGAAGGUGGAAUUCCGCGUGUAGCAGUGAAAUGCGUAGAUAUGCGGAGGAACACCGAUGGCGAAGGCAAUCCCCUGGGCCUGCACUGACGCUCAUGCACGAAAGCGUGGGGAGCAAACAGG